GAUGGACGCUGGCGGCGUGCCUAAUACAUGCAAGUCGAGCGAACGGACGAGAAGCUUGCUUCUCUGAUGUUAGCGGCGGACGGGUGAGUAACACGUGGAUAACCUACCUAUAAGACUGGGAUAACUUCGGGAAACCGGAGCUAAUACCGGAUAAUAUUUUGAACCGCAUGGUUCAAAAGUGAAAGACGGUCUUGCUGUCACUUAUAGAUGGAUCCGCGCUGCAUUAGCUAGUUGGUAAGGUAACGGCUUACCAAGGCAACGAUGCAUAGCCGACCUGAGAGGGGGAUCGGCCACACGGGAACGGAGACACGGCCCAGACCCCUAGGGGGGGCAGGAGUGGGAAAGUUUCCGCAAGGGGCGAAAGCCUGACGGAGCAACGCCGCGUGGGGGAGGAAGGUCUUGGGAUCGUAAAACUCUGUUAUUAGGGAAAAACAUAUGUGUAAGUAACUGUGCACAUCUGGACGGUACCAAAUCAGAAAGCCCCGGCAAACUCCGU
rnacentral:rRNA from 1 species